rnacentral:rRNA from 1 species
CAAACGAGUCGGGUAGCUUGGGAAUGCUGCUCUAAUUGGUGGUAAAUCUCAUCAAAGGCUAAAUAAUGACCGGAGACCGAUAGCGAACAAGUACCGUGAGGGAAAGAUGACAAGCACUUUGAAAAGAGGGUGAAAAGAGCCUGAAACCGUCACGGGGGAAGCGGAUUGCGUUGGAUUGAUGGGCGCCUGUGUGUUCAGCCAUUUUCUUUUGGUGCAUUGACAUAGGUUUUUAGCUUAUCCGCCGUGGGUUUUCGGCGGUCGAUUUUGGGCCGCCGGGGGCUGAGGGCUCCCUUUUAUUAGGUGAGGACGGUGGAGCGACGACGCGAUACGACCCGUCUUGAAACACGGACCAAGGAGUCUAGCGCGGGUGCGAGUCAAAGGGUGCAAGCCCGUGGGCAAAGUGAAAGCGAGUUUUUUUAAAACGAGCAGUUUGAGGCGGCAUGAUGAUCGUUGAUCUCAAGACCGACCUAGAGCAGUUGCGCUGGGACCCGAAAGAUGGUGAACUAUGCCGGAGUAGGGCAAAGCCAGAGGAAACUCUGGUGGAGGCUCGUAGCGGUGCUGACGUGCAAAUCGCUCGUCCAACUUGGGUAUAGGGGCGAAAGACUAAUCGAACCAUCUAGUAGCUGGUUCCCUCCGAAGUUUCUCUCAGGAUAGCGGGCCGACAUUUGAGUUGUUUUGUGCGGUAAAGCGAAUGAUUAGCGCACUCGGGGGCAAUUAGCCUCUGGGCGAUUCUCAAACUUUCAAUGCGCAAGGGUGCCGCUGCUUUGUUGAGCGGUACCGUCAAAAACGUCGGCCCUGUGGGCCACUUUUGGUAAGC